GGCGUCUUCACGGGAGAUUGGAUCUGAGCUCUCGUCCGUGGUUCCUCUGUGUUGCCGACGUCAUGACGGCGUCAACACGGCGAACCACACCCGAGUUAGCUGCACGGCGUCAGAAACUAUUGCCAAUGUACUAAGUCUUAUUCAGAGAUUGUCAAUAUUGUUGGGCGUGUCCUGCUCUCCCUCUUUUAUAUUUGGUUGUUUGGUCUCACACUGAAGGUGCUAGAUGUAAUGUGGACUCAGGGCCAGAACAGAGAAGAACCAGAGCAGCUAGACUCGGGUGUGUGUUCAAGGCAACAAAUGCCCUCUUUUCCACUGAACCACCAACACAUGCUAGCUCUGCUCUUUUGAUGUUCACUUCCACAAAAAAAGACCACACUGUAUCCAUACCCGUGCAUGCACAAGCCCACACUGUACUACACUAUUUGGGUACACACUCAGUACAAUAUCUUCAGCUUCUACAAUGGCUUGUCUGACUGGGUAUAUUUGGUUUCAAUAAAUUGAUAGGAACGCAGCCAAAAGAACGCCGAUAACCAUAAGAAACAGAAGACAAAACAUAAAAUUGGAUCAAAAUCUUACUCGCAAGUAAGCUUUGAGAAGAGAAACUUGGAACUCACCCACACGAACGACGG